UACAGGGGGGGCAAGCGUUGUUCGGAAUUACUGGGCGUAAAGGGCCUGUAGGCGGCCAACUAAGUCCGACGUGAAAUCCCCAAGCUUAACUUGGGAACUGCGUCGGAUACUGGAUGGCUUGAAUUCGGGAGAGGGAUGCAGAAUUCCAGGUGUAGCGGUGAAAUGCGUAGAUAUCUGGAGGAAUACCGGUGGCGAAGGCGGCAUCCUGGACCGACAUUGACGCUGAACGGCGAAAGCUAGGGGAGCAAACGGG
rnacentral:rRNA from 1 species